rnacentral:rRNA from 1 species
UAGGGAAUCUUCCACAAUGGACGCAAGUCUGAUGGAGCAACGCCGCGUGAGUGAAGAAGGUUUUCGGAUCGUAAAGCUCUGUUGUUGGCGAGGAAGGAUAGAGGCAGUAACUGGUCUUUAUUUGACGGUAAUCAACCAGAAAGUCACGGCUAACUACGUGCCAGCAGCCGCGGUAAUACGUAGGUGGCAAGCGUUGUCCGGAUUUAUUGGGCGUAAAGCGAGCGCAGGCGGAAUGAUAAGUCUGAUGUGAAAGCCCACGGCUCAACCGUGGAACUGCAUCGGAAACUGUCAUUCUUGAGUGCAGAAGAGGAGAGUGGAACUCCAUGUGUAGCGGUGGAAUGCGUAGAUAUAUGGAAGAACACCAGUGGCGAAGGCGGCUCUCUGGUCUGCAACUGACGCUGAGGCUCGAAAGCAUGGGUAGCGAACAGGAUUAGAUACCCUGGUAGUCCAUGCCGUAAACGAUGAGCGCUAGGUGUUGGGGACUUUCCGGUUCUCAGUGCCGCAGCAAACGCAUUAAGCGCUCCGCCUGGGGAGUACGACCGCAAGGUUGAAAC